GGUGGAGGAAAAUCCUAGUGUAACAGUAGGAUGUUACUUCUGUUGGUAACACAAUAGGUGUUACUUCUAUCCCUCUAUCAUUAGCCAUAAAAAGAUCGAAGAAUUAGAUCCUGGGUCUUUUGAAUACCAUUGAAAGGAGCCUGAAGAAUCAUCUACUGUGGCCACUUCUGGACACCCUUCUUUCAGUGACUGUAGAAAUGGAAACUCCUUCUUUCUUGUUCCUUUGUGGAAUAAGAGGUACUUUCCCAGGAUUAGCUGGUUCUGGAGAAGAAACAACAGAUAAGUGAACAUGUCUUAAUUUACAUUUAUAUUUUGCUUGACAUUUGUAGGCCAAAAGACAAAUUGCAAAUGGCCUGUGUCAACGAACAAUAAUCUUAUUAAACAUGUUUGGGAAAUACUUGUUGAAUUUUGUAUGGCUUUUUUUUUUUUCUUCCUAUUAAGGCUGAAAUUAUGGAUUCCAUGAUAGGUAAGAGAGAAAAAAGGCAGAAGUCUAAAGUUUCUUCCUCUGGAAAAAUAUGUUAAACAGUAUAAUACAAUAUGAUCAGGAAACUGACCUAAGUCUUUACCUUCAGAAGUUUAGAAUCUGGGAAAUAUUUUACCUAUUCUUGCUGGGGAAGAUUUAUAGAAAAGUGAA
rnacentral:lncRNA from 1 species